GUUCGAGGGAAACUCAGCGUGUUUGUUUGUCUCUAAUACCUGUUCCCUUAUUGCAGAUUUCAAAUAAGAUGAUAGACUGGGAGUGCAGGGUGUAAAAAGAUGAAUCGUUCAAGACUCCACCUCCUCAGACACCACAGACUAGAACAUAGACACUGCUCAAAAAUAAGUCCACUUCCAUCUUGAACAUUCUGAAGUGCAUAUUGAGAGAGAGCCACUGGAGCAAUAUAUGGUUGUGCGUUACAGCUCUAAGGCCCAAAUGCAGUGAAUUUCUCUGUUGUUCUUGAGGACGAAUUGGUCACCACCCACAACCAACUUCCAGAUGCCUUUCUUGUCCUGUUUGGAUUCCUGUAUGCUUUUCAGGUACAUAUUCCUAAAGGACUUGCAAAAAAAUUGGUAUUUGUGCAAAAAACUUUUGCUUGGCAUGGAAGAUGGGGAAACUGUCUCCUAGCCUGCAAACCUUAAAGCGUAACUAAACCCCUGGUCAGAGCCUGACUCCACCCACUGCAAUAUUUGAAAAAUGCAAGAAAAGUGGGCAGAUCCCAACGGAGAUAGAGGGGACGAACUAAGUGUGUGGUGAGAUCGUAACAAGGGCGUGGUGAGCUUGAACCUGCUUACGUCACGAGUCAUUUUUUGGACCCAACAUCCAAUAGGAAAAUUCAACUGCAGUAGCCACCGUUCAACCUGAAGAGGGCAGCACUCAGACGUUUUACACCAUAUAUUGUAGUAUUGAAACACUUUAUAUCCAAAUGUCAAAAAACUUACUAAAAUCAAUGAACAGCACUAAUAAAGCCUCAUUCUUACAGAUCAUUAACUAAAAAAAGUUGGUUUAGGGUUUAGUUACUCUUUAAAGAACAAGUUGAUGUGAAGCAUAACUUGUACUACCUCAGCACACACAAAAGACAAAAAGAGUUACUUAAAUGUUAUCUAACUGAUGUUACUUUGAUUUUUUUACUUGUAUCUACUUAGUUCUUAUUGACAAGUUAUUGUAUUAACAAAGCGGUUCAGUUUAAGAAAUUGUCAUGUUUAAUGGAACUGUGUGGUGUUAAUAUAUGAAGUUGGCUGUUUAACAUUCCUUGCUCAUUUCUCAUUUUAUAAAAUGCUGUUAAACAGUUUGAGCCUGUUAAAAGGUAUGUUGUGUUGCUAAGAGAAUUUAAUUUUUGACUGGAAAAUAUGAAAUGCUGUUAAACAGUUUUGUUACCUUGUUACCUUGAACCCAUUAAAAGGGUAACUUUACUUACCCUUGGGUUGCUAAACAGACUUUAAUUUUUGACUGCAGAUUGUAUCACAUUUGUAAAUUUAAGAGAGAUGUUUAAUGCAACUGUCUCAUGCUAGUUUAAAUGUAUGAAAUUUGCUGUGGAGCAAUCCUUUUGUGAAAUAAAUUGCCAAAAUUUUA